GAGAGAUAUAGGUCAGAGAGACAGAGCCAGAGAGAGACCCAGAGGGGCAGAGGAGGUAACAGCAAUAUUUGGAGAGGUGGGCACAGUGAUUGCUGGCCUAAGUAGACCUUGCAGAGCUGACGCCCACCAGGCAGAGGAAAGCUGAGAACUAGCCUAAUCAUGAAGACACGGGAAUGGGACCUCCAGGUGGCUCUAGGACCGGAACAGAAUGGCUCCAGGACAAUGGAUGCACUGUUGGGGGACAGCACAUGCAGGUGGGGCACACCCGACAGAGCCACUGCUGGGCAGGUGCUCCCACCCGAGGACAGGCUCUAGCUCUGCCUGACCGUGUGUUGACAAGGGCCCUGCUUUCUCGCUGCGUCCUGGACCUGUCCACUGGCCAGCCCUUAUUGUCAGAGCUGGACUCGACCUCUCAGAGCAGGAGCGAGCUGAGUGCGCAGAGGCAGACACAUCCCAGGACACCACCACCGGCAGUGACCUCACCUCCUGGCAGACCAGGAUAGCGGGUCCCUCAGAACAGCACGUGAAUCCACAGCAAGAGGGCAGGAGGGGACAGAGACCCCAGCAACAGGCCCCAGCCAGGCCUCCUUCCUCGUCUGUCCCCUGCUCCCUGGACUAUGCCCCCUGGGCGUGGAGCCAGGCUGGUCAGCCUGGACCCGGGAUGGCACACAGCGCAGCGCCCGCCUGAUACCCGCAGUGUCUGUUGCCUGGCACCCGCCCCGCCCCACCCCCUUGGGUUUCUUAAGCUCCAGGCCUCUGACUCCCCGAGAAGAGGCUCUGCAGAGACAUGUCACGUGACCAUGCUGCACGAGAUGUGGUGGCUGAGGUUUCGUCCACGGAAAGGCAGAUCCAGGAUGGCAAUUUGACCUUCAGUGAUUCUGAGAGAAGCCCCAGGAAGGACAGCAAUCAAGAGUCCCAGGAGAUGCUUUUUACUGGAAGGAAAACAGCUCUCUCUUGCUUGUGCGUGGGACAACACAGCAACCAGGACAGCUGGGAUGUUCCUCACCAGGGAUUUACAAGCUGGAAAAGAACACCCGGUUUGUCCCCAUCUACCUGAGAAACUCUGGGAUGAAGGUCAAGACUCAGUUUGGAUCCCCCCUGCAGGGUUGACUCACACUAGUCCUGGGGAGGCUGCACUCCGAUGGGGAGUUGUCUCCUCUUGGCCUUCCUGGGCUACAGUUCCUUGAAGACGCGACUGCAUCAUGCACACGCAGGUGCCCCUAACUUUUUGGUAAAUAAUCUAUACAUGAAUGAGUGAGCUCGGGGCCCAGCAGGGAGUAAGUGGGCGUAGGGGUCACAAAGCCUGGCAGGCAUCGUUCUGCCCCCAGGACCCAGUGCAAGAGGAAAAUAUGGCCGUCUUCAGGCAUUAUUAUUAAGACUUUGGAGGCAGGGACAGAGGGGGCCAGAAGGCUGCCCCACUCCCACAGGAGACGCUGCACUCCACACAGGACAGUUUACCUAGGCCACGAUUCCAUUUUCAGGGCCUGGUGGAAUGUCCUGGUGCGGCAUGUGGUCUCAGGAGGUCCUGCCUGCAUGUGACGGAUGUCACACAGAGGAGGGGGACAAUGGAAUACCUGGGACAGCAGGCUAAAGUCCUGUAGCUGUAACGUCCUGGUUUGAUUUGCGUGUGGCAGAAGCUGGAUGUGGGGUCUCAGAGACCCCAGACCACACCCUGGGAGCUCAGGACAGAGACCUGGAAAUUGCUUCGUGGGAACUGGGUGCUUCUUUCACAGGGGUAACUGGAAAUGAGGCGAGGGCGGAGAGAGCAGUCAGCACUUGGCCCUUCUACAUGAAGUGAUCGUGGGGCCAGCAGAUGGCACAGUGAUUAUGUCACUGGACUCCCACAUGGCUGCCCGCGUUUC